GAUGAACGCUGGCGGCGUGCCUAAUACAUGCAAGUCGAGCGAACAGAUGAGGAUCUUGCUCCUCUGACGUUAGCGGCGGACGGGUGAGUAACACGUGGAUAACCUACCUAUAAGACUGGGAUAACUUCGGGAAACCGGAGCUAAUACCGGAUAAUAUAUUGAACCGCAUGGUUCAAUAGUGAAAGACGGUUUUGCUGUCACUUAUAGAUGUAUCCGCGCCGCAUUAGCUAGUUGGUAAGGUAACGGCUUACCAAGGCAACGAUGCGUAGCCGACCUGAGAGGGUGAUCGGCCACACUGGAACUGAGACACGGUCCAGACUCCUACGGGAGGCAGCAGUAGGGAAUCUUCCGCAAUGGGCGAAAGCUUGACGGAGCAACGCCGCGUGAGUGAUGAAGGUCUUCGGAUCGUAAAACUCUGUUAUUAGGGAAGAACAAAUGUGUAAGUAACUAUGCCCGUCUUGACGGUACCUAAUCAGAAAGCAACGGCUAACUACGUG
rnacentral:rRNA from 1 species